rnacentral:rRNA from 1 species
CGGGAACUGUGAGACAGGUGCUGCAUGGCUGUCGUCAGCUCGUGUUGUGAAAUGUUGGGUUAAGUCCCGCAACGAGCGCAACCCUUAUCCUUUGUUGCCAGCGGUCCGGCCGGGAACUCAAAGGAGACUGCCAGUGAUAAACUGGAGGAAGGUGGGGAUGACGUCAAGUCAUCAUGGCCCUUACGACCAGGGCUACACACGUGCUACAAUGGCGCAUACAAAGAGAAGCGACCUCGCGAGAGCAAGCGGACCUCAUAAAGUGCGUCGUAGUCCGGAUUGGAGUCUGCAACUCGACUCCAUGAAGUCGGAAUCGCUAGUAAUCGUGGAUCAGAAUGCCACGGUGAAUACGUUCCCGGGCCUUGUACACACCGCCCGUCACACCAUGGGAGUGGGUUGCAAAAGAAGUAGGUAGCUUAACCUUCGGGAGGGCGCUUACCACUUUGUGAUUCAUGACUGGGGUGAAGUCGUAACAAGGUAACCGUAGGGGAACCUGCGGUUGGAUCACCUCCUUACCUUAAAGAAGC